UCUCCGUUGGUGAACCAGCGGAGGGAUCAUUACAGGACUCGCAAGACUCCUACAACCCUGUGAACUUAACUAUAAGCACGUUGCUUCGGCGGGUGUCUCGGAGGGGGUUCUCCCUCCCCGAGACGCUAAACCCGCCGGCAGCCUACUAUACUCUGUCUCUUUGCGUUGGCAUCUCGAGUACGAUCAAACAAGUUAAAACUUUCAACAACGGAUCUCUUGGUUCUG
rnacentral:misc_RNA from 1 species